rnacentral:misc_RNA from 1 species
AAAUUAAAAAAAAAUUAAAAAACCCUUGGAAUUUGGCAUUUGCCUUAGGAUCAUUUCUACAUUACAAAUUUCUAUCCAUCCAUCUUCAACCAAGCAACGUGACAAAGCCUCAUCCCUUGAAUAUUUAAUUUGCAUCAACAACAUGGAAGCUUCUUCUAAAACAGUUAAGUUUAUGUUCUAAAAGUAUCCACAAUUCUCUUUGUUUCAUUUUCAGCUUCAUUAAGUAAGUUUUGAGUGAAUUUAAAAACCUCACCCUAGUUGGCACUAAAAGAGAAGACUUCCAAACUCGUCUAUGAAUUACAAUUAGAAAAUCUCAAAAUUGUUGUCCCUAAGUGGGAUCGCUUUCACCUGACAUUAGGAGACUCAUCAUCACAAGGAGAACACAUUGAACACAUCAGCAUAAACAUUCCAUUAAAACUUAUUUCCAUGUUAGAGAAGACAGAAGUGUCAUAUAAUUGCUAGCAAUGGAUCAUAGUAAACUUUAAAUACACAAAAAGUACAGCAAGAGCACUCGGCACA